rnacentral:rRNA from 1 species
GAAUAAAAAAUCCUCCGAGCGAUUUUAAAGACUAGACCCACAAGUCAAAUCACUCUAUCGCUCAUUGAUCCAAAAACUUGAUCAACGGAACA